UCUGAAAUAGCUCAGUUGGUUGAGCGUCAGACUAUAAAUCGAAGGGUCCUUGGUUCCAUCCCGGGUUCUGGCA
rnacentral:tRNA from 1 species